CUGAAUUUGUGAUGCUAGACAAUCAACACCAUACAGUGCCCUCCAUGAAUAUUGGCACCUCAUCCAAAACAACUCAAGUGUCUUCAUCUUGCCAGACCCUACUGGAACUUCAUACAAAAUUGGGUUCUAUGGUCAGAUGAAACCAAAAUAGAGUUUUUGCUGAUAAACACUAGAGAUGGGUUUGGUGCACACAGAGGUAGCCAUAUGGAAAAGUACCUGUUCUGUGGCUGUUUAACAGCGCGACCGGGCCCCUGUAAUAUCGCACCGCUGGGAGGAAGUGAGUGCUUGUCACUUCCUCCCUGCUAACACAGACCAAGCCGUGUGAGAGGGAGAUCUAGAGAAGGUCUAUAUGG